GGUUUGACAAACGGCUGUGUGGACAUUUCAACGUGCAAUACCCCGGGAAGGAGCUGCUGAGCGGUGCGCAGAGAGCCAAGGCAUUCACCGUCUCCAAGUCUCUCUUACACUCUGUAAACACAACCAGUCCGGCAGACUCUGCUAUUGAAGACUGAUAUUUUCAUAAGCUAAAUACUAUCGUUCACAUUGAUUUGUGCACUCACGCUUGACUUUUUUUUCAUCCUCCUCCUUUGGACAACCACGGUAAGUAGUAUGAACCUUAUAUACUGUAUCUACCGCUUUGUUGUGAACGCGCGUCAUUUCAGGCGCAGUAAAGGGAAAGUUUUAAAGCUCGACUAUAAAAAUAUAUAUAACAUAUUCUCAUAUGUAUGUUUAAACGAUAGAGUAUCCUAAAAACCCAAACGCUGCAGCGAAUUGUUAAAUAUACAUACUUCCAGAUCUUGCAAUGUUACCGCGUUUUAUUUCGCAUUUAUUGUGGAAAUAUGUGAUUUGCCCCCGAGGAGAGUGAUGUAAACACCCGAGGAGCGCGUGAAAAUAGCAGAAGCUAAUUAUGCGUGUCCAAUGUACGGCUCCACAGAAACACAUCCUUCCCUAUAAAACUUCCAGCAACGACUCCUACUAACGACGCGGACAUUUUUAAACUCCUUUUGUGAACUAUUUAUUUGAGUAAUUAAUGGAAGCCAUACACACAAGACAUCAUCAUUAACAACAUUUAGGUUGCGAAAUGGGUUAAUUUCGCCUAAUAACAGCUUUUGAUGCGACAUUACACGAGUCGGUGUUUAAUUUUCUAAUUUCAUUUUAAUUAUCAUUCACUCAAUAGGUAAUUCAAAUUAAUUUCGCUCAUAAACAAGACCUGUGCCAACAUAAACUCCCUUUGCUUAUAACCUGGCCGCGUUUACAAGCCAGCUAAUUCCAGGAGGACACCGAUCAGACAAUUACAGCUUUUAAGGAGUUUUAGAUUUCUCACAAGUGGCUUUCUCGUUGCGACCCUUUUCAGGUGCACACACAGGUCUUAUGCGUAUGAAAAAAAAAAUCAGAGGAUGGCAUUAACAGGCGGUAAAAUUUCAUCUGGUGGUGUCAAAUUGAGGUCAGUUUAGGGUUAAAGCUCUCGGUGUCCGUGUGGGACAUGGCCAGCUGCGUUUGGAUUCAUUAGGGUGGGGGGGAGAGGAUCCAUUUCAAGGAAAACACUACUGGGACAAUCAGCAGGCUAAAGAUCCACUGCAUGUCACAUCCUAAAGGUGCACCAGGACCGCAUGCCACCGAGCUCCAGCACUGAACUUCCACUCCUCUGUUUACUCUUUGCAGGAUUUACAAUCCCUCUCCCCCUCUCCUGCCCUGCAGGGCUCGGUUGUUCACACACACACACACACACACACACACACACACACACAGACACACACACACACACACACACACACACACACACACAUACAAGCCUGUUGCUAAAUAUGGAGAGAGAGAGAGAGAGAGAAAGCAUUGUUGAUUUAAUUCCCUCAAAAAGAUCACUGAUAUGAAACGAGCUUCAAAUCCUCUUAGUGACCUUAAACACUCCUGGAGAAACAAUUGGCGCUCAACCACAGGAACAAAUAAAAUCGCCCUAAUCUUGUUUGUAACUUUGUUCUUCUUUGGCCCUCUUCAAUGUUUGAGAUUAUGUAAAUGAGCUGAGCUAAUGCACAGAGGCGCUGAGAUAAGACUGGAUCAUAGACUACUGGAGAGGCUCGGGAAGUAAAAAAGCUUGCAGCCUGUCCAUUUCUUCUUCUUUUUUUGCAGCAGCAGUUUGAAAAUUGAAAGAAAUACAGCUACUGAUGCGUAAUGUAAUUUAAAAGUUUACUUUCUGCACUAAAUGAAUGUAAUGCAGCUUUGUGUUUGUUCCAGCUGUAAAGAAGGCAACGGCUCAGAUAAUUUUUUAUCAUCUCC